rnacentral:lncRNA from 1 species
UAUUUGUAAUGUUGAAGUAUCUAUAUAUAAUUAUCUAAAAUCAUUUUAUAUAUGUGGUUAUUUUUUAGUUUCUCAUACAUUACCUCUAUUAACAUAUUUAAAAGUUAAAUAACUAAUUAAUCAAAAUCAAUAAAAAUAAUGAAGUAAACUAUUUUAAUUAAAAAUGUCUUAAAAUAAAAUUUUAUUCUAAAAAUAUCCAUAGAUUUAAAUAGUUUAAGUAGUAGUUAUAUUUGAUAACAUUACUGAAUAAUUUUUUAUUUAUGAGAUUAACUUAAAUUGUUAAUAAACCAAUAAAUAUAUCCACUUGUGUAAGAAAUGAUUGAUUGUCUAAUAUGUAAACUUCACAAUAAAGAGUAUAAUAGAAAUGCAUCUAUUUGUUUCUUGUAUGAAUGUAUAAUUAAUAUAUUUGAAAGAGUUUAUGUUUCUAAUAAUUAGAAAAAAUGUAUCUAUUUAUUUCUCAUAUAAAUGAUCAAAUUAAUUAUAUAAUAAUGUGUUUAUGUUUAAUAUAGUUGUAUAUUUUUCUUUAUAAAAAAAUUAGAAGUCAAAUAUUAAUUAUUAGUUUAUUAUUAUUUUUUGUCAGUAAAAGAGAUUUAAAUUCACAAUUUCUCUCCCCCUUCCUAUGCUAUUCAACUAUAAAGGCAAUUUUAUAACUUAAAAAACAUUAAAUAUAUAUAAUAUAAUUAUUAAAUAUUUUUAUAUUUUUUAUGAUGUAAAAAUUCAAAUUAUUAUUAUUUUUCUUGGCCACCUUUAAGUGAAUUCCUAGCUCUUCCCUAUGAUAAUAUUGUAACAAAAAGUACUUCUGGUUUGGCAUAGUUAAUAGGGGAUCGGAGUUGCCUUUGCAGUUAAGAAAUCGACACAAACUGUAUCAGUUUCGAAAAAUUAUAAUAAUCAUUGUCUUCUAAUAGAAUAUGGUAACGACUAGUAUAAGAGAAGCAUGCAACAUAUAUGCUGAAAAAGUACAUAGGAACUAAAAUAUGUUACAAGAAAUCGCACAUUAAGUGUAAAUGGCAUCAUAAAAAAAAAUGUGAAAAUUGAAGAAUUUGUGAUUUGAGAAUAAUAAAUAUUUCCCAGAUUUUCUAUGAGAAAAACCUUUCAAUAAUAGCUUAAUUCACUCUUUAAGAAUCAAAAUAAGUAAUUUCGAAAGGAAGACACAAAAAAUUAUAAUUGAUAAAUUAAGAGUGCCAUAUGCUGCACCUAGGUAAGAAUUAAACAAUUUCUUUUAAACAAAACAAAAAAAAAAUAUCUCAAUUGAAAAACUUUCUGCUAAUUCUUUCAUCAUAGAGACAUCUAAGACAGUAUACUAAAGCACGCACCUGAAUAAAAUGUUACCCUAGCUAUUUAAUACAAGCAUAUUCCCUCAAUGAAUUAUUAAAUAAAAUAAAACAUUUAUGAGAUAUUUUUUUAACUCUUUCAAAGUAGCACUCUAGUUAAAAUAAUAAUUAUUAGAGUAGCACCAAUGAAUUUAUCAAGUUGGGAUGAAGAAAUAAAUUAUUAACUUCUAAGAAUUGGUUUACUGUUAAUAUGAGCUUUCUGUUCGAAAUACAUAUUGCUCUUUUUUUCAUCAGCUAAGCAAUUCUUGAUAUAUAUAUAUAUAUAUAUAUAUAGUCAGAAAAAUAAAAUCUAGAACAUACCUAUUUGCAUUGGAGCGAUAAGCAACACUUCCCACAUUCACCAUAAGCAUACAUAUACAUAGUCUGUUAAUCUGUUCAGAAACCUCAUGUAAGCAAUUCUCCAAGGACGCCACAGUAGUAAUGGCCCUAAUAAGCCCCAAAAUCCAGUGAAGUAUCCAAUCCCCAAGCUCAUGUAUAAUCCCUCAUAGAAAACUGAAUCAUCACCUUUGACUGGUGGUUCUUGAUGCUCUUCUGUUGUCUGAUCUCCAUCCCCAGGACAAGUUUUGUUAAGUUGUUCGCCACAAAGAUCAAUGUUUCCUUCAAAACUAGAGGCUUCAAAGGUUUCAAAAUGUCUUCCUGAUGGGAUUCUUCCCGAAAGAGAGUUGUGUGACAAGUCUAAUUUUUGCAAAUAAUCAAUUUCAGAAAGAGAAGAAGGAAUUCUCCCAGAGAUGUGAUUUCUUGACAAGUCAAGUGAUUCUAGUGAACUUAAAUUCCCAAUCUGAGAAGGAAUUUCUCCACUCAAAUUGUUUCUUGAUAGAUUCAAAGAAACUAACCCAAGCAAAUAUCCUACCUCCUUUGGUAUUUCACCCAUUAAAUUGUUACUAGAAAGAUCAAUGCUCUUGAGCUCUAACUCUGGAUUCUUGAACCCCCGUUGCACACCUUUCCACAUCCAUGUUAUGUCAAGCGUAUAAACUCCGAAUGAGUAAACACCAUAAAUUUCAAAGUAAGUUUUAUUAUUCCAAUAUAUAUGAGACAGAGUGUCACUUGAGUUGAUGCUCUGUUCAGACAUUGCAGUCAAAUUCUUUAAGCAAGUUGGAAUUCCUCUUGACAAAUUAUUCCUUGAAAGAUCCAACAAUUGAAUACGGUUCAAAUAACAGAGAUGAAUGGGUAGAUUUCCGGAGAGGUGAUUUCCUCGCAUGUUCAAGAUUAUCAAUUGAUGCAUACUUUCUCCAAUCCAUGAUGGUAUUCGACCCGACAACAUAUUUUCACUCAGGUCCAGCAUAAAUAAACUGCUGCAAUUCUUCAAAGAAGAAGGCAACUCACCCAUCAAACUAUUGUUUCGUAAAACCAAGGCUUCCAUAUUAACAAGGGCGCCCAUGGACAUAGGAAUCUUCCCUGACAAUUUAUUGUAACUUAAAUCAAGAAACAGUAAUUGCUUUACUGAUUUCCAACAAUCUGGGAGUUGCCCCUUUAUUUGAUUGUGUGAUACAUCUAAUAUGGCAAAAUUUGCAGCUGUGCUUUGGUCACAUAAGAAUGAAAACAAAUCUGAAAAAUUAUUUUCAGAGAGCAUCAGCCCAGAAGCUUGUAGUAAAAAUGAUGGAAUUUUACCCUCAAACUGAUUUGAAUUCAGAAGUAUAAAUGGUCUCUUAGGAAGGUUCAAUGAUAUAUUAGGAAUUGCACCAAUGAUAUAAUUGUGAGACAUAUUUAAUAAUAUCAUAUUUUGCAAGUUAUUCCAAAACAAGUCUGGUACAGAGUCAUUAAUCCCGUUAUCAGAAAUAUCAAGCUCAUACAAAGAACUUUGAGUCUUGAGCCAACUAGGAAAAGUGGGGCCCAACUUGCAAGAUCUGAUUCGCAAGUAUUGUAAUUGGAAUGGAGGAACCCAACUCGGGACAAAUUUCAGAGACAACGAGCUCUCUGAUAAGUACAAGUUUUUUAAUUUGGAAAAAUUAGAAAGAUGGGAUUCAGUGACGUCACCCUCCAAAGAAUUCCCAGCCAAGUUAAGAUCCUCCAACUCUGAUAGCAAUCCAAUGCUUUUAGGUAACAUGCCAGUCAACCGGUUAUAAGAUAAAUACAAGCUCUUAAAUAUGUGUCUGUUGCACCAUGAAGAAUUUCGGAAGAAGCUAGAAAAUUCCCCGUUCAACUUGUUAUUUGAGAGGUCUAAACUCUGCAAUGCGCACAUGUUACCAAAGAAAGAUGGAAUCUCGCCUUGCAGUUUGUUAUCGGAUAGGUAAAGAACUUCAAGAGAGUUCAUUACUUUCCCAAAUCCAUCUGGAAUGGGACCUUCCAACAUGUUAUGAUAAAGGGAAAGGUCAUGAAGAUUGGUGGUGGAGUUAAAGAGCCAGUAAAAUAUAGUUGAUGAUUUCAACAGAUUUGAGGAGAGAUCAAGGUAAACAAGAGAAGAUGAAUAACUCAUACUGGAAGUAGAUGACAUAAGAAAACUUUCAUCCGUAAGACCACAACUUCCCAAAUCAAGAUUUUGAAGUUUUGAGCUGAAGUUGAAACCACCUUGAAAGACUGAUGAUGUCAUAUUAUUAUAGGAAAGGUCAAGGAUAACAAGAGAAGGAAAAUUUGGGCAGAGAGGAGACGACAAAACAAUGUUAUUAUCACCAAGAUAAAGCUCCUGAAGAUUAAGGCUAAAGUUUGACAGCAGUUGAAAUAUUGAGGAUGUGAGCUUAUUUGAAGAAAGAUCAAGGAUGGUAAGAGCAGUGGAGAAGUUGGAAGGUGAAUAAAACAGAGGAUUGAAUAUUUUGUAUCUGAAAGAGGACCAACCAACUAGCCUCAACUAUCUUUAAGUUUGGAAUAAAGCUUUGCUGAUCAUUUGUAGCCAGUGAUGAGAAGGAGGAAAGGUUGUGUAGUGAACUUAGCCUAAGUUUUGUCAAGGAAGAAAGAUUAGUCAACCCCUCUGCAUCCUUAGAUUUCACAUCAAAAUUGCCACCAAGUGCAAGAGUGUGCAACAAAGGAAGAUUCCCCAACUUGGAAAGGAAAUGCUCCCGAGAAUGAAUUCCCCCCCCGCAAGAUCAAGAUACCUCAACUGUGAGAGAUUUCCAAGUUGAUAAGGGAGUUCCCCAUCUAGAUCAUUAUCACUUAGAUCAAGAUAUUGUAAAUGUGUAAGGUUUCCAAGUUGAUAAGGGAUUUUUCCAUGGAGAAAAAAAUUGUUACCUAGAUCAAGAGACAGUAAAUGUGUAAGCUUUCCAAUAUCAGAAGGAAUACUCCCAACAAAUGCACAAUAAGAGAGAUUGAGAUAUCGUAAGUUGGCGAACGAGCCCAUGAAUUCUGGGAUAUGACUCCAUUGAAAAGCAUUAUAGCUGAGAUCCAAGUGUUCAAUAUUUUGAAGGGCAAUCAAUGAAGAGAUAUUGAUUGCACCUCUCAAAUAUUGUGUAUCCUGACCACGGAGAUGAAGCAUCUCAACAUGACCAGUUUGAUUGUUGCAUUGGAUGCCUUUCCAUUUGCAACAGUCUCUGUUAUUGCCAUCGUCCCUCCAUGUAGACAGCAUGCCAGAGUCAUCUUUGAGGCCAUGUUUGAAGUUGAGGAGUGCUUGUCUCUCACUCUCAAUGCACUUAAUUUCUGCGCUAUUGGGAAGGCUGUUGAAUCCAAGAAUGGAUCCAGCAGCAUGCAAUAAAAGCAGCAAAAGUGCAUAAAAUAGUUUCAGAGAAUAACAACUCAUUAUGAAAUGACCAAGAGUAAAACAAAGAUCGGUUACUGUGAUCACUUUCUCUUAAAUGGUGAAGUAUGAAAGAUGGAGCCUGCGGCAGGAUUUAUAUAGCUGAUAGUAUGGUUAGAUGACACAGUUGUGUUAAUUCUGGUUCACUUAUGGAAGACAACAAAAUAAGGAUAUUUUCUCUUAAAAAAAACUUUAUUUUAAAAAUUAAAAUACGAAGACUCCGUAUACGAGGCUUAUAUAUUUUAAAUUCCUUUAUUACACUCAGGUGAUAAGCAAUUUAUAAUAAAAAAAAUUCAAUAAUUAUAUAAUUGUGUAAUAAAAUUCUUCCAUAUAUUAAUUACAGGUUCAUCAAGCUCUACUUCAUAUUAUACGGCCGGCAAGUUGUAACAACUAAAAUUCCAUCAGAUAAUUCGACAAAAAAAUGAUGUUGCAAAUUUUAAUAAAUAAAAAAUAUGAUUAUGAAUUUAUUUUUAGAUUAUCAAGGGAAUUUUUGUAAUGUCAUUAAAUUACACGUGAGCAGCACAUUAAAGUAUUUGAGUCUGUCACUUUAACGAGCACACGAUGCUGAGAAAAGUCUAUGUAAAAUUAAAACAAACAAGGCUUAAACAACAUUUUGGCUCCUAUAAAUUAUUAGUGUUUUUUGUUUUAGCCUGAAAAACAGUCCAUAUUAUCAAAGUAAGAACAUUAAUUGACUACAUAACAUGUAGUUAUAUUAACCUUUUAUUGACUUCUCCUGCUAUCAAAGAUCUUAACAAUAAAUAAUGUGUAUUCUUUUAAAAUCUUUCAUCAACUAAUCUAAUAUCAUCAAUUAUUUUGAAUACAUGAAAAUUUGAAGAUCCAGAUUACUAUCAAAUUGAAGAUCCAGAUUACUAUAAAAUUGAUACAUGAUAGUGUGUUAAAUUAACUCAUUAAUAAUGUGAGUCAAUGAACAACCAGCAUCAUUAUCACAUAAUCCGUAAAUGUUGAUAGUUGAUAACAAGGAAUAAAACCAAAUAUUAAAAUUACAGGGACUAUAAUAUAAAAAAUUUAUUUAAGCCCUCCAAGAAAUAUGAUGUGUUAUUUUGCCAAAGUAUAAGAAAUAUAUGACUAAUUUGUUUUACAUGAAUGUUUAGCAUAGACUAGUAAUUUUAAGUCUUUGCACUUAUCCCCAAAAAAAAAAAAUCUUUACACAUAUUUUUAAAUUCACCAAUGGUGAGGAGAUAUUUUGCAUUAGGUAAAAUGAACUUUUUACAUCAAUUCUACAGCCAAUAUGUACUUAACUCUUGUCUAUAUAAAAUGUAUUUUCUUUUUUACACCAAUUGUUUUGUAACCAAUAUAAAAAGUAUUUUUCUACAUCAGUUAUGAAAUUAACAACUAAUAUAAAAUUAUCACUUUUUGUGUCAUCAAUUUUCUCCCAUAAUAAUUAGCCCACAUCCACAUCAAAAUUACACCUUAAUCGUUCUUUUCCCGUGUUCAGAUCACCCUCUUAAAACUCAUAAAGAAAAAUGAAAGGAAACAAAGCAACCACACAAUAUAAGAAGAAAAACCAAAAAGAACAAAACAAUCCUCUUCCUCAACAAGUAAGUUUUGAUGAGUUACAACAAAUACAAGAAAGAAAAAAUUAAAAGAAAAGUUGACCAGACAGGAAAACAGUUCAGUACUUUUUCCAAUGACUCCUAUGAUAGAAACUUGGGGUUAUGUGGACUCCCAUUGACAGCAGAAUGCAGCAAGGACCCUGAACAACAUUCUCCACCUUCAACAACCUAGAGGAGAGAACGAGGAUUUGGAUUUGGUUGGAAAGCAGUGGCUAUAGGAUAUGGAUGUGGAAUGGUCUUUGGAGUGGGAAUGGGAUGUUGUGUAUUGUUAAUAGGAAAGCCUCAAUGGCUUGUGAGAAUGGUUGGAGGUCAACUCAAUAAAAAGGUGAAAAGGAAGACAAGGAUGAGAUCUAAUGAAAAUGGUAGCAGAAUGAAUUAGUUGAUAUAUGAUAUCUUGUUACAUACCUGCCAUCUUGAUAACGGUUAAAUAAUUGUAUUUUGAUAAUAGAAAAUAAGGCAAAAUUAUCUUUAAAAAUAAUUAUUUAACAGUUAUUUGCGCUUAAAUAUUAAAGAAUUGAUGUUUUGUUGAAUUUUGGCUGCAGUUAUAAAAACUGGAGGUGUAACAAGCAAAAAGGCCAGAAAAAUUGAAGAGAAGAAGAAAAUCUGAAGCAGGCCCAGUCCAAUACGCGCGCUGAGCGCGCGUCACGCGCUAAGCCCAUGAUCCAACAGAAGCGCGCGCUAAGCCUGCAACACGCGCACUAAGCCCGCGAUCUAACAGAAGCGCGCGCUAAGCCUGCAACACGCGCGCUAAGCCCGCGAUCUAACAGAAGCACUCGCUAAGCCUGCAACAUGUGCUGAGCGAGGGGGUGUCGCGCUGAGCGCGCCUACGAAGGCCCAAAGCCCACUUCAGCAGCUAUAAAUAGAGAGCCAGUCCAAGGGACAAAAGAACUACGACAGAACCCCCUCUCCUAGGGGUUUCAUUUACUUUCUUUCACCCCUCUUCUCAUUGUAAAGCCCUCAAUGGCCAUGAGUGGCUAAAUCCCCUUAGCUGACAGGCCUAGAAGCCAAUGUGAUGUAUGAUGUACUCUUCACUAUUUAUCAAUGCAAUACCAGGUUUUUCUUUCCUAUUUUCUUUUCUGUUUUUACCUUGCAUACUCAUCUUUAUAUUCUGUUAGGGGUUAGAUGCUCGGGAGAGGGUAACUUCUAAAUAAGAUUUAAAGAAGAUAUGCAUGCAUUAGGUUUUAGGGGUUAGACGCUCGGGAGAGGAUAACUUCUAAUAGAACAAGAAGAAAAGAUAUCAUAAUAAAAUCAUUGCUAGGCAUAGAGUGAUUGCAUUAUGCCCAUGCGUCAAAGCAAACAUCUAGAAUUAGAACUUCAUGCAUUUUAUCUAUUGAGUCUUUGCAAAGGCAUUUGGGGGAUAGAUAGGUAAAAUAGGCUUGUCAUCGUGAGGCAUCAGGGGCAAGUAAAUGAAUAGAUGUGAGUGGGAUAAAAUCACCUGAAUUGGUAAAGAAAAAAUCAUAAACUCAUACAUCCUAGGCAGAUAAGGCAAGUCAGUUCCUAACACUAUUUUAUCUUGAAUUUAUCUUUUAUCUAAAUCUUUUAUCUUUCUUAUCUUUCAUCUUUUUCUUUAUCUUUUAAUUUUAUCUUUAAUUCUUUUAUCUUCUAAUUUUAUCUUUAAAUCUUUUAUCUUUUCUUUACCUUAUCUUCUAUCUUUCUUUAUCUUUUAUUUUAAAUUUCUUAUCUCUUGCUUUUAAAUUGGAUUUGCAUUAAUCUAAGUACAAACAAAGUCCCUGUGGAUUCGACACUCGGACUUCCGAGAACUUUACUACUUGUCACGAUUUGGUGCACUUGCCAACGAGUCAACACAUCUUUGAAAGCAAAACUUAAGGGCAAGAACUUUAUCACAUUGCAUUGCAUGGGGGAUUUGGUUCAAAGUUAUUUGGUGUAAUAUGAAUGUGUUAUACUUUUGCUUUUGUUUUUUGUGUGUGUUCUUUUUUGUUUUUUAUGGGUAGAAGAAUGCGAUGUACUUCAUUUGCCUUGAGCUUGCAGUUUUGAUUUAUUUAAUACGUAUAACUGUGGCAUAUGCUGUAUAAUAAUAAUAAAUGUUGUAUAUUUUUAAAAAUGCUAUCUAUUGGCCAAUGCUAAAAUAUAUAUUUUGUAUCUUAACAGUAUGCAGUUGUCUCAUUUUAUUCAAGGAGCUCAAUUCACGGUUUUACUUUCUAUUGUAGUCUAUUUAAUUAAUUUUCUAACCAUGUAACCACACCGUGACAUGGCUUUAGAAGCUGAGGUCCAAGGGCGUAAGUUUAAGAGCACAAUUAUUAGUAUAUUUUGACGGUUAAAUUAUAGUUAAAUUUAUAAUUUUUUUUCUAAUUUUUUUAAGCAAAUAAUGGUUAAAUUAAUAUCAUUUAAGUUUUUGUGCAAAACAUAUUAAAAGUGAUAGAUUUAUGAAACUUAAUGAGUAAAAUAAAGCUCAAAAAAGCAUAAAGAAAGCAAGCUAAUCGAAGAAAAUAAGAAUAAUUAUGAAAAAAAAGAUUAAUUGAGAAAAAAGAUUAAUUAAGAAAAUCAUUAAUAAUAAAGGAAAUCAAGCUAAAUGAGAAAAAAUGACUAAUUGAUGAAAGAAUAACUAAUGAAAGAAAGACUAAUUGAGAAAAAUGACUAAUUAAGAAAAGAAGACUAAUUGAGAAAAAUAAAAUAACUAAAGAAAGAAAGACUAAAUAAACAAAUCAGAGUCUAAAGUCCAUUGAUUAGCAAAAGAAGAAGAGAGAAAAAGAAAAUACAUAAAAAUUCCAAGAAAAUAUAAUUUCUUAUAGAAUGUAAAGGCUUGAAGGAGACAAGCAAUGAGAGUCAUUCCUUUCUUUUAUUCAUUUUCUUAUCUUUUCUUCCAUUUACUAAAUAUUUUCCACUUGUAACUCUAAAGCCUUCAUGAUAACGAGAGACUAAAUCUCAUUUAUUGAAAACUUAAUUGAUGGAAGCUUGCUUGUGGGGCUUCUAUGGAGGCUGAAUCUUUGAGCUUCAAUGAGGUCCUUUAAUGGUGAUUUUCCACCAUGGGGAUGCAGCGGAAGACAAAGGAGAAGAGGUGAGAGGAGGCGCCAUCCACUAGGGAAUAAGCCAUGGAAGAAGGAGCUUCACCACCAAGAUGAGCCUUGGAUAAGAAGCUUGGAGAGGGUGCUUCAAUGGAGGAAAAGAAAGAGGGAGAGAAAGAGAGAGGGGGGAGCACGAAAUUGAAGGAAGAAAAAGGGAGAGAAGUUGAACUUUGAGUGAUGUCUCACAAGACUCUCAUUCAUCCAAGUUACAACAAGUGUUACACAUGCUUCUAUUUAUAGACUAGGUAGCUUCCUUGAGAAGUUUUCUUGAGAAAACUUCCUUGAGAAGCUUCUUUGAGAAAACUUCCUUGAGAAGCUAGAGCUUAGCUACACACACCUCUCUCAUAACUAAGCUCACAUCCUUGAGAAGCUUCCUUAAGAAGAUUCCUAAAGAAGCUAGAGCUUAGCUACACAUACCUCUCUAAUAGCUAAGCUCACCUCCUUGAGAUGAGAAGCUAGAGCUUAGCUACACACCCCCUAUAAUAGCUAAACUCACCCCCAUGACAAAAAACAUGAAAAUAACAAAAAAAAUCCUUAUUACAAAGACUACUCAAAAUGCCCCGAAAUACAAGACUAAAACCCUAUACUACUAGAAUGGCCAAAAUACAAGGUCCAGACGAAGGAAAAACAUAUUCUAAUAUUUACAAAGAUAAGCGGGCUCAUACUUAGCCCAUGGAUUCGAAAUCUAUCCUAAGGCUCAUGAGAACCCUAGGGCCUUUCCUUGGAUCUGUAGCCCAAUCUACUUGGAGUCUUCUAGCCAAUGCCCUUGCGGGGUAGGAUUGCAUCAUUAAUUGUCAGCCAACUUUCUAUCUAUUUAUAAUAUUACAUUUAUAUGAUCCUUUCUUAUGUUACAUGGUAAGUUUUAGGGGUAGCAUUGAGAAAUAGUAUUUUCUAAUAGAACUGAGAAAUGUAUCUAAAUAAAGUUAUCACUAGAAAUAGGUUGAUAUUUGUUUAGUCUAUUAUGCAUCUUUAUUCUUAAUACAAUUUAUUAUUUUAGCUUUGCAAAGAUAGUUGAGAGAGAAAAUAGAUAAAUUAGACUACUUCUUUCAUGCUAGUGACCAAAGUUAGAGUAUAGAUGUAAAUUGAAAUAAUUAUAAAUAAAGAAAAAUUAUUAACAAUACACCAAAGAGUGACUCUACUAGGUUAAGUUUCCAACAUUCUCAUAUUCUGAAUUAAUCUUUUUAUUAUCAUCUUUAUCUUUUAUUUUUCUUAUCUUUUAUAUUAAAAUUUCUCAUCUAUCUAACCUUUAUCUUUUUAUCUUUAUCAUCUUUUAAUUUAAUUUUUAUCUUAUUUUUUAUCUUUUAUUUUAAAUUAUUUAUCUAUUACUUGUAAAUUGAAUUUUCAUUAAUCUAAUUACAAACAAAAUUCAUGUUGAUAUGAUACUUGAAUUUUCCUUUUAACUUUACUAUAUUUGAGAUGUAUUAAUGAAUUUGUCAAUCUAUCAACAAUAUAGGUUUUGCCAUAACAAAAGAUAAAAUCCUUUACCGAUAGGGUAUUCCCAAAUAAUGACAUAACUCAAGAUUACACCACCCAUAACACAAAAGAAUCCUCACGAAAUGCCUUUACCGAAAUAUAUUUUUAAUAUUCAAGAAUAAAUAUUUCAAAAUACAUCCGGUAAAUGGUUUCAGUUGGCUUAUGGGUAGGCUUUUUCAUAAACAUCAUGUUUCAAAGCUCUUAUAUAUGAAUAGGUUUCCACAGCACAAAAUAGUUUUUUUCUUAAGGAUAGGCUUUUCCAUUAACAAAACGGUCAAUGCCUAACGCAAAAUUUGGCCUAACAUGAACUGCAUAUUGACGGUUCAAUUCCAAUACUAAAUUAUGAAGGGUACUUCUAUGAUGUGAUGUUUUUCUUUUUAUUUUAAUCUUGAUGUGAACUAUUUAUUAGUUGUGAUAUAUAUAUAUAUGAUAAAAAUAAAAAUAACAACUACUUGGCUGCACUCUUACAAUGAUGGGUUAUUAUUGUACAAAUUUCUGGAUCCAAUUAAUAGAAACUCGCGCUUAUUAACCAUAUGUGCAGGUCAAUAUAUAACAUUCAUUUCUUUAAUUGAUUAAGAAAUCAUUGACAUAAACACGAUAUGGCUAGGAACCUUCAAUAUGCAUUGGAAUAUUGCUCACCUAAUAUGUAGCUGCCUGACGCAAUGUAUGACAGGGAUCUUAUAGUAUUAUUGACCAUAAUGCUCUUGUUUGGACGCGGAAAGAAAAUUAUUUGAAAAAUGAGAGUAAAAGAAUGACUAUUCAUGAGUCAUGAGGAAAAUAUUUUUCUAAUGCAAAUAGAAAUAUCAUGAGUAAAUUAGAAUAACUUCAUGUUGUUCGGUGGUUUAGAAAAGCUUUGAUGGACAAGUGAUUCCUAUUUAUAUAUCUUGUUUUAUUUUAUGACAAAUUAAAUUUAAAUGGGAGGAACUAGCUAAUAUAAAACGAAAACAAAAAAAUUAAAAAAAUGUGUUCAAUCAACCAUGAGCACUUUAAUCUUUUGCACAACAUUGACAAAUAUAUAUGUUGUUGUAAACCUUGAAUAUCAUAUGCUUGAUGCAUGACUUGCUAGAUUCAAUCUCAUGCACCACCAUUCACAUUAUAUGAUUGGUCACUACCCCUCAAGCCGAUGUUACGUCUUCAAUUGUAGCGGUCACGCUGGGUUCUGUUUCUAUUCCUGCGAUUAUUUCAGUUUAAGUGUUACCUAGGUUAUUGUAUUUGCCGGAUGUUGUUUCUUCUAGGGGGUUCGAGCCAUCUAUUAUUUGGCAAGUGUGUUAUGCCUUGGGAGCUAGGGCUAACUCUGUUAAAUGUUGUUUUAUGUCUUUCUCUAAUCCUGUAAUUUGUGUUGUUGCACCUCUGGUGCUAUUUCAAUGAUAUUCUUUUGGCUGUUUCAGAAAGAAAGAAAAAAUAACAAGGAAGAAAGUUUAUUUCUGCAUUUGCAUUGCAUUGAUCCUCUAAUUAGGUUUCUCAAAAUCUAAGCAUGUAUAGCAUUCCCAUAUAUAUUGUGAGGGAAAUAAAAUAAAAAAGAAAGUUGAAAUUAAGAAAAGACUACAAUAUUAGCUCGUUCUCGAUCUCUCCACGCAUAUAAAAUAUUAUCGUUUAGUCACAAGUCACUCGCACAACACUAUACUACUUAGACUGUACAAAUCAAAACCUGAUAUCUCUGUCUCAGCUUAUAUAAAUAUGAUACUUAGACUUGAAGAACAUCCAAAGCUGUCAAGCCAUACAGAACGAUACAAAAUUACAAUAAAUUAAGUAUAAUUGAAUAUACACACCUAGUGCCUUUGGAUCUUGGAAUUCUACUACCUACGUGACAUCAGUUACAGUGUAAGAAUCCAUUUGGAGGUCUAAGUUCACAUUAAUUUAUAAACGUUUCAAUUUUUUAUAUUAAAAUUUUUAAUCAUUUAAAAUUAAAUAUUUUUUUAUUAUAAAUUAUUAGCAGCAGGGAUAUACUCCCGUGUUGUCAAUGUUGGGCAGAACUCACACACACAUAAAAUAAGAUUUCAUUUUUUUUCAAUUAUGUAGACGUUUCUUUCAACCGUAGUUUGUUUACUCUUGAAUUUCGAGAAGAAAAAUGGACACCUUUUCCUACUCCUAAAUACUUUUAUAAAGAGAGAUCGAAUUGGCAACUUUACGCGUAAUGGGCCAUAAUUCAUACGAAGCUUGGUUCGUUAAAUCAAAUAAUUAUUCUUAGACUUUGUUAGUCAUAUUGCUUCAGUCAUAGAAAAUUAGGUUUCAGUGGUAUUUUCCUCAAAGACUGAUGAAUAAUAAUACACUUAUGAUCAAUUAAUUCAUUGAAAUGCCAAGUCUCAAAAUCCCGAAUUAUACUUAUGCAAAAUUACCUACUACCUUUUAGAGUCAUUUAAACCAUUAUUAACACGGCUUGGCUUAAUUUUCGCCUUCCGCCUACUAAAAGACUAUGACAUAAAAGGGGGAUAUUCAUCUACAUUCAGUGUUUAUAUAAAUCUUUCGUGUUAUGUAGCACUGCUCUAUACUUUAUACCAUAAAUGCACUUAACGAGUGCUUAUAUCAUUUGAUAAUUCCAGAUCUUUUUGCAAAUAUUAAGUUUUACUUAUUCAAUGAAAAAUGAUUAUUUAAAGUUAAUUAUUUAAAUAAUUUGUAAUCAAAAUAGAUUGUUAAAAUUUUAUAUUGUUAUCGAAUUGGUCUUUUAAUUACUAAAAAUUUAACCUGCAAUCAAAUUAGUCUUGGAAAUUUUAAAAUAUCACAAUACUAUUCAAAUUUAACUCAAAUUUAAAUUUUGUUCAUGUGUUUAUUUUAGUAUAUAAAUAAAUACGCCAAGGAACCGUUAAAUAUUUUGAUUACAUUGGUGUUUUAGGCAUGGUAGGACACAUCAUGAGGGUGUUUGGAAAUUAGCGAACUGAAAAAAAAAAGUUAACUUAAAAUUUAGUACCUAGGUGAAAGUUAAGUAUUUAUAUUUUAUUUUAUUUUUUAAGCAGCUGAAAGUUGAAUAUAAUUAGUUGAAAGUAGAUAAGUUAGUUACUUGAAUUUAAAAUAUUUAGUAAAAUUAAAUAUUAAACUAUCUGAUAAGUAUUAAAUAAUAUAGAAAAAGUGAAACACAUUAUUAUUUAGUCGUAACUAUAUUUAGUAACUAUAUAUACUUUUAAAUACCAUUAGUUUUAAUAUUUUAAUUUAUAUCAAAUGUGCAUCAUCUUAAACAUUAGGAUUAUUUUUAGUUUUAUUCUUAUUUUAAAUUUAGUAUUAAAUAAAUAGAUUCAUAUUAUAAUUUUGAUGAUUUUAUUUUACCAAGAAAUGAUAUUUGAUGAGAGUGAAAGAGAGUGUAUUAAGGUUUCUAAACAGAUAAAAAAGUUAGUGAUGAUAUAAAUGAGAAAACAAUAAUAGUUUAGAAAUUUAUAAAUUAAAACACCAGAGUGUUUUAAAAAAACAUUUUUAGUGAACUUUUUUUAUAUCAAAUUAAACUUUUAAAUUAACUAGUCAAUUAAGUUAUAAGAAGUUAACUGUUUCUUGUGGUAAAUAUGUACGAGCUUCUCCAGCAAGGAUAUAAAUUGUACUUUAACAUUCUGUGGGGUUAAUCCUUUUGUUACAACCAAUCCCGGUUGAUAAUUUUUCUAGCUGUUCAUUAAUACGCUUAGAUUUUAUUUUUUAACUUUUUAUAUUGGUGAAUAGUAUGGAGUUAAGUAGUGAAUAAUGUGUUGACAAUCAACAAUCAUUUCGUUAAUAAAAUAAUAUACAUUUUUUUAACUCAUUACGUUCACCCCGUUUACUAAUAUCGAUAUAAUGUUUAAGGAGGAAAAAAAGGCACUUCACCUUCCUUUCAGGUUCGCGUUUCUUGCAUGCUUGCCAAACUCUACAUCCUUUGUGCAUCAAUUUCACGAAAUCUAUUUCGUACCCAUUGGCCUUUCUCAUACCGAAAUAUAUACAAAAUUUAAAAUGGAAAGUUCAAAGUGAUAAAUUCAGGGUAUUUAUUCAUUAUGUAUUAUAUAAUAUAUAUAACUUGGCAUAACAAACCCAUGCAUGCCCAGCAGUACGAAAACCAUAAUGCAUGCAGAGGACAAAGAGUACAUAUGGAUCAGAUCUGAACAGUGCCUUAAAACUUUAUAAAAUAUAUAAAAAAGUGACACCAAAUUAACUGAUAUAUAUGUAUAUAUAUGGUGCUUCAGUGUUUCUUCCGUCCAUAUCAAUCUCCUUUAUUUGCACACGUUCUUCAUCAGAUCCUGAAAAACCACACGCGUGCACAUACCUUAUUAGUUUGUCACAAGUAGGGGUGGGUAAAAUUGAUGAACUAAACUGAACUGCUAAAAAAUUGAACUGAACUGCAAAAGCACGUAACUAAUUGAUCCCGCUAUCUACUUAUAUAACAAGGAAGUUUUCACAUUACACACAUAUAUGAAUGCAUCUUAUAAAAUGAUCAAGAAUUUUUUUGUACACCAUACAUACACUUUAAUUUUAUAUGAAUCUUACCAUGGGAUGAUAUACUAAAUCACUAUUUAGUAGUGGUAUGGGGGAGGUGGAGAUGAAUACUUGUAUGGUUUCUUAGGUGUUGGUGGAGGUGAAGGGUACUUGUAUGGAGGUGGAGGUGACUUGUACUUGUAAUCUGGUGGAGGAGGAGACUUGUACUUGUACACUGGGGGUGGUGGAGAUGGGUACUUGUAAGGUGGUGGUGGAGGAGAUGGGUACUUGUAUGGUGGGGGUGGUGAUUUGUACUUGUAAAUUGGAGGUGGAGGAGAUGGGUAUUUGUAGGGCUUUUUAGGUGGUGGUGGAGGAGAAGGGUACUUGUAGGGUGGUGGUGGUGACUUGUAUUUGUAAACUGGUGGUGGUGGUGGUGAUGGGUAUUUGUAGGGCUUCUCAGGUGGUGGUGGUGGUGGGGAUUUGUACUUGUAAACUGGUGGUGGUGGUGAUUUAUAUUUGUAGGGUUUCUCUGGUGGUGGAGGAGAUGAAUAGUCGUACUUGUCAUCAGCUGAGGUUUGAGAUGGCAAGCUUAGAGAGACUAUUAUUGCCAAUACAAGAGUAAGUGUAGCAUAGGCCAUUAGAGACCCCAUUUUCUCUCAAACUUCAAAAGGGGUUUUGGUUAUGCUGUUGGGAAUGGCAGUGCCCCCCCUUUAUAUAGUUUCUUUCACCACAUUAACACCACUAAUGUCUAAUUAAUCAUAUUUAAAGGUGUACAGUGAUUUCGAUAUAAUCAAAUUCGAAAAUCAGCCUCGGACACUCUAAGUCAAGUACACUUUAGAUCUUUUCAAUUUGAAAAAUCAUCCUGGACGAUCGAAGGGUAUAGACACUCACAGAAAGUAGAAGAAAAUAAAAUAAUGAUAUAAUUAGUAAUAUAAUAGGAUAAGAAAAGACCACUAUAAAGAAAUCAAAAGUGUCAAAUAGAAAUGUUUAAUUAUACGAUUUGAGUUCCUAAAAAUAAAGAUGCAUUCAAAUUUACCUUAUUGAAAUCUCUAAAUGAAUUUAAUUUUAUACAUUAUCAAAGUAAAGUAAAAAAAAGUUUGUUUUAUAAAAUACUUAGAAAUUAUUAUUGGUAUAUAUCUUUUAAGGUGAUUGUUAUAAAAGUCUUAAGAAAUUAUUAUUAUAUAUAAAUUCGUAUAAGAUUAAUGUAGUGGUUAAGGCUUCGAUAUGUUCAUAUUGAUGAAGGGAAUGAUUUAUUUAAUAGAUGAAUUUGUGUUUAUUUUUUCAUAUAUAAAAUUUUUUAAGAUCAAUGAUAGACACACAUCAUGAGUAAGAUUAACAUUUGAUCCAAUGGAUUAAAAGACAGUCGUGAUUUUUAACUCAGGAUUGAAAAAACCAUGAAAUUGAUAUAGUGAUGUAAGAUUUUAUUACAUUGACAUAUAUGAAAUGAUCUAUUUAGAGGGAAAAACCAUAUUCAAUUCUCUCCAUGUGCAAAAUUCCUUUGUACCAAUGGUAGUCAUGCAGUGUCAUCGUGAUCUCUAACCUAUUAGGUCUGGACGAUCAUACAUCUCAUCUAUCAUAGAUUUUGAUGUAUAAUAUAAGUAUAAAUUAUUGAUAUUAUAAUGAGUUUUUAAAUGGUGAGUAGAAUUAUUAUGUUAAAAGAAUAUCAUCCACAACUAUAUAGAGAAUGUUUUGUUUCAACCUAGCCUCCAGAACAUUAUAUUUAGUGAGUUUUCACUUUUGUGCAAAACAACAUAAUAUAAUGUCAUAAGAUAAAUUUGUACAUUUAGUCUCAAGGAUUUAGUAUUGCAAAAAGGGAAGUCCAUAUAUAUUGUUUUAUUCAAAUUCCAUUUGUUUUUAUUACGUGUAAAUAACUAAUAUUUGAAUUCAAGAAAAAAGACAACAUAAAAGAGUCUAUAAGACCUCCAAGGAGUAUCCCCUAGAAAAUCGCUUUCACAAAAGUCAAAAAACAUAUGAUGUUUCCUGCACUUCAUAUAAAUACUCGUCAUUUAAAGCUUGAUAUGUCGACCAACUUCUCUAUGUGAGAGAACGAUCCUUUCAAGAUAAGGAAACAAAUCCCACAAUGAAUAUCUCACUAAAGUUUAUAAAAGGAUGUCUCCUUCAAUGAAAUAGAAAACUUAAAAACAAGAAAGAAAAAAAAAAGAACAAGAGCACAAGAAAUAUUUAAAGAGAAACUCCAUUAUUCACACAAAUUUUACAUUAUUAUUCUUUGCAAAGCAAAGUAGUUCGUAUUUGUGUCUAAGUGUAUGUUUACUCUUUGAGUGUUAAGAGUACUUGUAUUUAAUCAAACUUUCGUUUGUAAAAAUCAAGAGUAGCUUUGUUAAAAAAUAUUUGGGUUUUUAGAUUUGGGGUCUAAGAAGAUACUAGAAGUGGUAUCAAAAACACUUGUAAAGUCAAGAGUGACAAGUUAAAAUACUUGUUUGUAAUAAAUUAUUGAUUAGUGAAAUCAUUUACUAAUAAAUAAAGGAGAAAUCCAUGUAACUCAAGUUGAGCAACCAGCAUAAAUCAAAUUGUUUUACUUCUCUCCAUAUUACUUUAUUAAGUAUUGUUAUUAUCUUUUUCUAACAUCAUUUUACAUCAAAUGCUUAUUUAAAAAACCAGUUUAAGAAACUCUUAUUUGUCACUUGACGAACACUUUGUUCAUUUUCUACAAUCUAUUUAUUAUUAGCACACGAUCAGUGUUUUUCUUUAUUUUAUCCAUAUUAUCUUUGUUAUUGUUAAAUUUUUUAUUUUUAAUAAACAUAUUAUUCAACCCAUUUUUGAUGUGUUUCUUAUAAUUUGAUAAUUGAGGAAAAAAAUAUUAUUAUAUAUAACUAUUAUAAUCCGACAAUUGUAUAUAAAAUUUGAGGACUAAAAUGAACAAUUAUCCACAUUUAGAGACUAAAAAAACUUUAAGUUUAACAACUAAAAAAAAUAUAAACCCCAAAUUAAGGAAUAACAUCGUAACCAAACCUUUUUUUAGUUUUUUUAUCAUUGACCUACUCAGUAAUGCUUGUCAUUGAAUAUUAUUGCCUUUAUAUUUAUAGUGAUUUUACUUAUAAUAUGUAAAUACACAUAUAUAUUUGAUGAUAAAAUUAAAAAAUAUUAAUCAUCUGCUAAUUAUAUUAAAUUGCACAAAGACAUUUGAAAAGUAUCCAUAAAAGAUAUAAAAGUAUCCUUAAUAAAUGAUCAAAUUUUGUGUUUGAUUUCUAUUAAAAAAAUUAGUCUUUGGUCUCUGAUAAGUUUUUUUUUUUACCUUAAAUGACAAUCUAAAUCACUUUACUUAACUAUUUAAAGUUUUAUCUAAACAAAUUUAGAGACCAAAAAUAUUCUAAAAUUUAUCAAGGAGUAAAGACUAAAAACCAUUUAUAAGGAUUAAAUGUAAAAUUCGAUCAUUUAUCUAAAUAUCAAAAAAUAUAUUUAAAUAUUUAAUUAAUUAUUACAAUUUAUAUCCAAUAUAAAAAUCCAAUGCAUCCCUCGCGAAAAAAGUUAGUAUGAUCAUAUUAUAUUGCGUGAGUUUGUUUAACUUAAAAAACAUAACUUUAAAAUUAAUAUUUAAAUUUUUGUAAAGAAGCAAAUAGAUUUUCUUCUUAAUAAGCAUAAUUUUUAUUUAAAUUAAAAAUAGUUUAAACAAAUACAAUAGGAAAUAAAAAAAAACUGUUUAUUUUAUUAAAAUAAAUAUUUUUUAAACAUAUAAGUUUAAACAAACCAGUCCAUUACAAUAUUCAAUAAUUAAAUUAUUGAAAAUAUUUCAUAUAUAUUAAUUAGACUUUCAUCUUGUAACCAGCGCGUUAAUUAUCGUCAAUGGACUAUUGAGAUAAAAUUAUAAUGUUGAUUAUAUUGAAAAAUAAUUCCAAAAAGUAUCAACAAUAUGUGAGUUUUAUUCUUGUUUGGUAGAAAAACAACAAGAAAGAUAUAGUAUGAAUAUAAGAUUUGAUGUGUAGAAAAAGUUGCAUUGUUUAUUUUUCGUGUGUUUGGCAACCAUUGUAGACUUUGGAUCAGAGACUGCAUUCUAAUUGAGCUGCAGAAUAGCCACUCAGCUGGUAAUGUUGACAUUAACCUUAUUUUCUUUCUAGAAAAAGACACCAACCUUAUUUAACUAUUUAGGUUUUGUACUUUGUGAGCAAUGUUCAAACAAAAAGUCUUCGAUCCAUAACAAGAGUUUGUAAUUUGUGUUACUUUGCGUCUAUAUUCACUAGCAAUAAGCAAAAUUUGAAAAGCGAGUACAUUGUUGCCUAACCAAUUAAUUAAGGCAUUAUCAACCGAGAAAUCCUAAAAAUACAAUUUUUUAAUACACUUUAUUUAACUGAUUGAAACAUAUUAAAAAUGACAUUUUGUUGAUCUUACAUCAUACUUAAUAUUUGUCUUUCUAUUUUUAUAAUUUUUAAUAAAUUUUAACUAAUUUAAAAAUAUAUUUAAAAGAGAUUAUCAGAAAAUGUAAUUGAUCCUAACAAUCCUCUUACUCACUUUAUUCGAAAAAUGAGCCAUGAAUUUUGAGAAGUUUAAUUGGGUACUGUUGUGGAGUGUUGAUUGAAUACCCCAUCAUUGCAACUUAGGGUACUGAUUAGUUAUGUUCCCACUCAAAUCUCUGCCCUUGAAUUAAUUAUAUAUGCUACACUUUUGUAUAGGGUCUGGCUGCACAAAAGCGAGAGAAGAGAAAGAGAGAAAGCAACAGCUAGCUGAACUUGGAAAAAGAAGAAACGUCUGGCUGCUAUUGCCAUGGAAUGCACCUAAUUAUGUAACUGAAUGCAUAUUUGAGUUUAGGAUAUAUAUAUAUAUGCGCGCGCGCGUUCUUAGUGCUUCCAAGUAUUAUUGUUUAUCUGUCAUAUGAAGAUAAAAAAUAAGUGUCUGGGAAGAAUAUAUAAUAUGCAGGCCAUCUCCCAGCCAUCUACAAUAUUUUAUCUAUCAUUAAAGUUUUAUGGCUAUUGGCUUAAUAGUGCUAGAGAAUUAUUAAAUUGUAUGCAGUAACAUACAACAAGUCUUUUUGAUCUUCCUCUUCUCUUUUUCCUUAGACUAAAAAUUGUAUUUCAUUUUUCUUAAAUGAAUAUUAACCGUUUUAAAAACUAUUAGAAUUCACAUUUUAAAAUAUAACGGUUCGUUAGCACUUAAUGAAGUCAAGUUAAUAGUAGAAACCAAAAAUAAAAUUUAAAAUUUAUCAGAGAUGAAGAUAAAAAAAAUUAAUAAAGACCAAAAAUAAAAUUCGAUAAUUUAAAAUAGAUAAAAAUAUAUAUUUAAGUCUUUAUAUUUAUAGAAUGGUUAGGCUACUCUAGCUCCCAAACUAUCUAAGAUCCUGCUAGUUAUAUGAUCACGAUCAACACUUCAAUAAAGUGCUCCUUUGUGUUAAGUAUUUCUUUGGCACAAUGUUUUAAUAAAAUCUAGAGUUUCUAAAUUGCAAUGAUCAAAAUAAAUUAAGAUGGCAAUGCAAGCAACAGUUUGGUUUGCAGUGCUUUAAUUUAGGCAAUAAAGAGAGCUCAAAAUUCUCUUGUAUUCUCACAAACAUAAGAGAGGAGUUUGAUCAAAUUGAUGAAAUAAACAAGAUAUAUUCUUUGUAUUAGAUUAAUACUAUAUUUGGUUUUGAGUUUUGACUAUUUAUUCUCGUGUUGGUCUGUAAGCCCAAAAGAGUGGCUAGAUAUUAAGUAAUGUGUUGUAAUGGCAUCUGGAGUGCGGUUAUAAUGUUUUUAUAUUGGGCAACAAUGAUUUGCCUUUUUUGGUGAUUUUAUUUUCAUCUUUCAUGGAGAAUUAUGAUUUGAGAUGGGGCAAUUAGAUGGAGAAUUUUCAAUCCCAUAUGGUAAUGUACGUAGCUCAAAGCCAAGUUCGAAUUGGUCAACUAAGAUGGAAGGGUGUCAGAUGAAUAAUUUGGAGAAGGAGGGCCUGUUGUAUUGAUCUUAAGAGAAAUUUCAAAAGGCAAAGGCCUACAUUAUCUAAAAUAAUUUUGUUGCAUUAAUUUAUAUACUAACUUGUGAUAUUUACCUUUUAAGUAACUAAUAAGAGAUGAAAAUCUCACAUACAUAAACUUGGAUCAUGUGAACUUGUCUUAGUGCAAGGUGAAUUUUAGGUGCUUAUAUAUAAUAUGAUAUAUGAAGUCGUUAAUCCUUCGCUUUCCACUUUCUCUGUCUUACGAUGAUUCUCACCCUGACUUUCUUUCUCUCAAUAUACUACUACUAAUUUCUUUUUUUCGGCUAAUGAAUUAUUCAGUAAGGAUCUAAAAUGUAGUUUAACAUACUCUCUGGGAAUAGUUUUUUUUUUUUUUUGUUAGACACAGUCUCGGUAGUUUUCAUGUAGAUACGCUUUGUUUUUUUCUUAGUAUUUUUUAUACAGCUGUAAUAGUUUGUAAAUAAGUAGUGAAUAAUGUGUUGAUAAUCAACCAUCAUUUCGUUAAUACAUUAUUAAUUUAACCGUUUACUAAUGUAGAGCAUGUCAUUUUAAUUCCACAUUUGCAUUUCUUGCAUAUCGUUAUACUCGUGGCGGGUACGUAUACCGGAAUAUGUAGAAAUUUUAAAUGGGAAUUUCAAAGUAGAAAAAAAAUCAUGGUAUUUAUUUAUUAUAUAGUAAUAUAACUGGAGUAACAAGACAUGGAUCAGAUCUGAACAGUGCCUUAAAACUUUGAAUAUAUAAAGUACAAAAUAAAAAUAAUAAAGGGAAACCAAAUAAACACUACUGCUUUCACAAGUUCCACUCUUCACUGUAUAAACUGCAUGGUGCUUCUUCCCUCUCCUUUAUUUGCACAAGUUCUUCAGAUCCUAAAAAAUUACACGCAUGCACGUAAAUUAUUAGUUUGCCAUAACAUGUAAUAAAUUGAUACUGUUAUCUAGUACAAAGUAACGAAGAAGAUUUCAUAAUGCAUAUAUGAAUGCAUCCUAAAAUUAGCAAGAUUUUUUUUCCCUACACCCGUGUGCAUAUAUACUGUUAGAUAUGGAAAUUGAGAAACAAGAAAGUAAGGAAUAGAUCAUAAAGUAAUAAAUAUAAGAGGAAAGAAAGACAAAGGUUAAAAAAAAGUAUAAGAUAAAUGUAAAAUUUAGAAUAUAAAAAAACUAAUUAGGAUUCUUAUUAGAUCUUCUUAGCAGAACAAUAUUUAAGUAUCGAUUUAUAAGUCUCACUUUGACUUUGUAUAUGCUAUUUUUACACUUCUACAAAAGAGGGAGGAAGAGAAAAAACAAAAUGUGAGUUUUUCUUUUUUUGGAAUAAAAAAUAAAUGUACAAGGAAGGGUGAAGUUGUAACAGUGGGAAUUAUAUUUAUAACAUUAUAAUUUCAAUAAAUAAACAAAUGUUUUAUAUCAUAAUAGGAAACUUUGCUGGAUUUUAAAUUUUAAAUUAUAGUAGUAGUUAACUACAAUUACGAUUACAGUAUAUUAAUAUUCUAGAAUUUUAUGUAAUUGCAAUUUAAAACCUUGAUUGAAAUAAUUAAAAUGGACAAUAUAUAGAUUUUAUAUGAAGCUUACCAUGGGGCGCUAUACUAAAAUCACUAUCUAGUAGUGGUAUGGGGGAGGUGGUGAUGCAUAGACAUAGUGUGGAGGAGGUGGAGAUGGAUACUUGUAUGGUUUCUUAGGUGGUGGUGGAGGUGACUUGUAGUAGUAAGCUGGGGGUGGUGGAGAAGGGUACUUGUAUGGUGGAGGUGGAGGAGAAGAGUACUUGUAUGGAGGAGGAGGGGACUUGUACUUGUAUACUGGGGGUGGAGGAGAUGGGUAUUUGUAGGGUUUCUUAGGAGGUGGUGGAGGAGAAGGGUACUUGUAGGGUGGGGGUGGUGACUUGUAUUUGUAAACUGGUGGUGGUGGUGAUGGGUAUUUGUAGGGCUUCUUAGGUGGUGGUGGUGGGGACUUGUACUUGUAAACUGGUGGUGGUGGUGACUUGUAUUUGUAAACUGGAGGUGGGGGUGAUGGGUAUUUGUAGGGCUUUUUAGGUGGUGGUGGAGGAGAAGGGUACUUGUAGGGUGGUGGUGGUGACUUGUAUUUGUAAACUGGUGGUGGUGGUGAUGGGUAUUUGUAAGGCUUCUUAGGAGGUGGUGGAGGAGAUGAAUACUUGUAGGGUGGUGGUGGGGACUUGUACUUGUAAACUGGUGGUGGUGGAGAUGAAUAGUCGUACUUGUCAGCUGAGGCUUGAGAUGACAAGCUUAGAGAAACUAUUGCCAAUACAAGAGUGAGAGUAAGAGAGGCCAUUAGAGACCCCAUUUUCUCCCAACUUCAAAUAGGGUUU